UAAAGGAAUAAGAAAAAUGAGACAUAGUGUAAAUAUGAUGUUGAAGAAUAAUAAGAAUAAUAUAAGAUAAAAAUAGAAAUUAAAAAAAAAAAGAAAAAUGAAAUAAGGUAUAUUGUGAUAAAAAAAAAUAAUAAAAGGAAUAAUAGUUAAUUAAUUAAGGAUUAAAUUAUGAAUUUGUAAUUUAUGUAGUUGAAUUAAAUUAAUAAAUUUACAUGAUAUGACAAUGUUUAAAAGCACAGUUGUAAUAUGAUAAAGUAUUAUAGUGUAAAUAAUAGACAGUUACACUGUAUUGAUAGUUUUUGUCCCCCUGUUUACAUGUAUAAAUUAUUCAAAGUCUGGUCCUAGUGAAUUUGGUGGGUAUUGUGAGGUAGUUUAAGGGUAUGACAUGCCAUAUACAGAUCUUGUAGUACUGCACUACAGUUACACUGAUUCUUGGGAUACAAUGAGGUAUCCUAUCAAAUAAAAUAGAGUCAUUUCAUUAUAUCCAUAACUUAAAUUUUGGUUAAAUUACAUAUAAAUUUUAAAUUUUCUAUCUAUUAAAUCUAUUAUUUCUCAAACUUUGAUUAUACUAAUAUAAUUAAAUUAUUAUUCACUUGUGUUAGACCUAAAUGUCCUAAUCCUUGUUUUGAUGAUUAAUAAACAAUUGGUGUGUUACUAAUUAUCUUCAAAGGUGUUUUGUAUUGAGCUUGCAGGUCCCUUAUUAAAAUAAAUGGAAUUGCUUCAGUCACAAAAGUGAAAAGUGCUAAUUAUAGAAGCAUACUACAAGAAAGUGAUUAUAAAGUAUUUUCUUUCUUAUUAUACGUUGCCAAUUUAUUUAUUGUGAAUUUCAAGUAAUUAAGUGUGAUGGCUCAAGGUUUCCUUCUUUUCUAAAAGUUUUUUA
rnacentral:lncRNA from 1 species